AACGAACGCUGGCGGCAUGCCUAACACAUGCAAGUCGAACGAGACCUUCGGGUCUAGUGGCGCACGGGUGCGUAACGCGUGGGAACCUGCCCUUAGGUUCGGAAUAACUCCCCGAAAGGGGUGCUAAUACCGGAUAAUGUCUUCGGACCAAAGAUUUAUCGCCUUUGGAUGGGCCCGCGUUGGAUUAGCUAGUUGGUAGGGUAAAAGCCUACCAAGGCGACGAUCCAUAGCUGGUCUGAGAGGAUGAUCAGCCACACUGGGACUGAGACACGGCCCAGACUCCUACGGAGGGCAGCAGUGGGGAAUAUUGAACAAGGGGCGAAAGCCUGAUCCAGCAAUGCCGCGUGAGUGAUAAAGGCCUUAGGUUUGUAAAGCUCUUUUACCCGGGAUGAUAAUGACAGUACCGGGAGAAUAGCUCCGGCUAACUCCGUG
rnacentral:rRNA from 1 species